AGCAGCAUUUCUUUUUAUUGUAAUUGAUUUAUUAAAUUAAAAAAAAAAUAACAGUUGUCAGUUAACUUCAAUAUCAUUUUCGUUCUCACAUUUUUAUUUGCUGAUACCGGAAAAUAUUAAGCACGGACGUGGACAAGAAAGAUGUUAUCUAUUUGUAUAGAUUGAAUAUAAAUCCCGAGAACUACUGGUUGGAGCAGUUGGAAAUCGGCCACUAUACACGCUUGGUUGAUGGAUGAAGUUUUUAUGACAGCACUCUAGAAGUUAUAGAUGUAACACACACUUACUACCACGGCAGGAUCAUUUUAUUUGCUUUAUCAUCAGGCGGCAACAUUUGCCGCCAUAUUUAAAUUUUAUCCGCAAGAUGGCGUUACUGCGCGGGAAAAUUUAAAUUGACA